rnacentral:tRNA from 5 species
GGUGGGGUUCCCGAGUGGCCAAAGGGAUCAGACUGUAAAUCUGACGCGCAAGCUUCGGUGGUUCGAAUCCACCCCCCACCACCA